UUUAAUUUGGAAACGAUGAUAGCCAAAAAUGGAGGCAGAAUGAAAAGUUAUGAUGACAUCCAUAUCUUGUGAUUUCUUCUGGUUCCAUUACUGAUCUCCAGGUUUUGGUUGCAGCUGAUGUUUGUGCGGCAAUUGGGCAGUUGUCCAAGCCUUUAACUAAUGUAAAUUCUGUAUGGCAAAUAGUUUAAUUUCAAGGCAACGGCUUGUUUAGUGGUGGCUACUGCAACACUUGGCCUUGAAAGGGGACUUUUGGAUUCAGUAUUUGGCUUAACUGUGGUAUAUGCUAAUCUUGUAAAGUAUGAUGCCCAGCUAUCAAUGUUCACAUCUCUCUUUCUCUAUCCAUCUUUUCCUUGAUCCUAUUAAUUUGAUGCAGCAUUUUUUUAUAACUAAAGAUUUGAGCUGAAAUACUCUUUAGUGAUUAACAAAUUGAGGGCAUAUGCCAUUUAUUUCAGCUUGCUUACAGCCAAAAGUACUUGUAAUAAGUGGUUUGUAUGAAGAGGAAUGUUAACAUUGUUGAAGGAAGUCAACAUCAUGUGUGCCUCUUCAAACUAGGGUUUAGUCCUAGAGUUGUAAUAGGA